UACGGGAGGGUGCGAGCGUUGUCCGGAAUCACUGGGCGUAAAGGGCGCGUAGGCGGCGCGGUUAGUCGGCGGUGAAAGGCCCGAGGCUCAACUUCGGGUCGGCCGUCGAUACUGCUGCGCUGGAGCACUGGUAGAGGCAGGUGGAAUUCCGGGUGUAGCGGUGGAAUGCGUAGAGAUCCGGAAGAACGACCGGUGGCGAAGGCGGC
rnacentral:rRNA from 1 species